GAGCGAAUGAAUAGGAUGUGAGGGUGACCUGGCUGCAACAUCUGUCACCCCAUUGAUCAUCAGGGUUUAUUCAGUUGAUCUGGUUGGCUGGGUGGGAGUUCCCUUCCUCCCUCACCACUCCAUAUGCAUCUCUCCCAGAGCUGCAAACUUGGUCGAAGAGAACGACCAUCCCCAACAGAGGAGUACCAGUCUUUGGUCAAACAUAUACGAGUAGCUGUACUCCCUUGCUAGAACCUCCAAACAAGCUCUCAAGAAUAAAUAAGACCUAUUAUUAGAUAGUACAAUGAGGUGACUAAAGUAAAUAACAACUUAAUUGUACAUUUUAAAAUAACUUAAAGAGUGGAAUUGAUUUGUUUGCAACUCAAUGAAUAAAUGCUUGACAAGAUGGAUACUCCAUUUCCUAUGAUAUGAUUAUUUCACACUGCCUGUAUCAAAACAUCUCAUUUACCCCAUAAAUAUGUACACCUACUACGUACCCACAAAAAUUUAAAAAAAAUGGAAAUAAAUAUGUGUAACAGUAGAAUAUACAGAGAAAUCUUACAAACUGAUAUGUAAAAGAUAAACAAUCCAAGAGGAAAAUGGACAAAAAUUAUUAAUGACAAUUCACAAAAAAAGUAAAUUCAAAUCGCCAGUAGAUACAUGAGAAAUAAUCAAAUUAUCCUUGUAAUUAGGAAAUCUAAAUUAAAGUAACAACUAGAUACCAUUACACACCCAUUAGACAGAUAAUAUUUUUUUCGAAAAAUACCCAGUGAUGGUAAAGAUGUAAAGGAUUACAAACCAUUUAGAAAGCAAUCUGGUGAUUUAUACUUAUAUUUAUAUACACAUUUGUGUUUCUAUUCCUAUUUAUGUUUGUACAUGUCUUCGGCCUUCCAACUGAGAUAUAAUAAAGGUAUAAGUAACAGGAUGUUCAUUUCAAUAUUGUUCGUAAAAAACUGAAAACAAGGUAAAUGACCAUUAAUAGAAUGGUUAAAUAACUUAUAAAUAUGCACAUAAUGGGAUAGUAUACAGUCACUCAAAAUAUUGAAAUAAAUCUACACUGCUUAUACCCCUUCAUAUAAAUCUCUCUCAUCAAAACUUUUUC
rnacentral:lncRNA from 1 species